UGGGGAAUAUUGCACAAUGGGCGCAAGCCUGAUGCAGCCAUGCCGCGUGUAUGAAGAAGGCCUUCGGGUUGUAAAGUACUUUCAGCGAGGAGGAAGGCGUUGUGGUUAAUAACCGCAACGAUUGACGUUACUCGCAGAAGAAGCACCGGCUAACUCCGUGCCAGCAGCCGCGGUAAUACGGAGGGUGCAAGCGUUAAUCGGAAUUACUGGGCGUAAAGCGCACGCAGGCGGUCUGUCAAGUCGGAUGUGAAAUCCCCGGGCUCAACCUGGGAACUGCAUCCGAAACUGGCAGGCUAGAGUCUUGUAGAGGGGGGUAGAAUUCCAGGUGUAGCAGUGAAAUGCGUAGAGAUCUGGAGGAAUACCGGUGGCGAAGGCGGCCCCCUGGACAAAGACUGACGCUCAGGUGCGAAAGCGUGGGGAGCAAACA
rnacentral:rRNA from 1 species